rnacentral:rRNA from 1 species
UACGUAGGGUGCAAGCGUUAAUCGGAAUUACUGGGCGUAAAGCGUGCGCAGGCGGCUUUGCAAGACAGAUGUGAAAUCCCCGGGCUUAACCUGGGAACUGCAUUUGUGACUGCAUGGCUGGAGUGCGGCAGAGGGGGAUGGAAUUCCGCGUGUAGCAGUGAAAUGCGUAGAUAUGCGGAGGAACACCGAUGGCGAAGGCAGUCCCCUGGGCCUGCACUGACGCUCAGGCACGAAAGCGUGGGGAGCAAACAGG